rnacentral:lncRNA from 1 species
GGCCAGUGAGGAAACUGACAAUAGUUGCUUGUUGACAUCAGUACUAGGCAGUGGCAGAGAGUUGAAGAAGUGGGAACAGCAGAAUCAGAGAGCUGGUACCAUUUCAGUAGGU